AUGCACCUCGCCUCUCUCAUCCUCACCCUCUUCCUGGGACAGCUCCUGGGCACCACAGGGCAGAUCACGGUCACCCAGGACGAUGGACAAGUCACGGUGGAGCAGGGACACCCCUUCCAGACCACCUGCAAAUACCAGACCGGUGGUGGUUAUGCUGCCUUGUUCUGGUACCAGCUGUGGAAAGGCCAAGCCCCACAGCUGCUCUCCUAUCAAGCAGGCUCUGGCCCCAAGCACAGCGGCCGGAUCACCACGCACCUCAACACCACAGGGAAAUACAGUGUCCUGAAGGUGGAGGAAGUGCAGCUCUCUGACACUGCCUUGUACCUCUGUGCUGUGACAGACACCCCGGGGCAGGGAGCGUCCCCGGCUGGAAGAAAAGGGAAAGAGAUAAAGAAAGUACAGAUUGACACCUAUGUGUCAGUAGACGAUAAGGGACAAAAGGAGGGAGCUCAGAGCUCAACAGCCUCUAAUUGA